GCUCAUGGCUCAGGAUGAACGCUAGCUACAGGCUUAACACAUGCAAGUCGAGGGGCAGCAUGAACUUAGCUUGCUAAGUUUGAUGGCUACCGGCGCACGGGUGAGUAACACGUAUCCAACCUGCCGAUGACUCGGGGAUAGCCUUUCGAAAGAAAGAUUAAUACCCGAUGGCAUAGUUCUUCCGCAUGGUAGAACUAUUAAAGAACUUCGGUCAUCGAUGGGGAUGCGUUCCA
rnacentral:rRNA from 1 species